rnacentral:rRNA from 1 species
CAGCAGCCGCGGUAACACGGAGGGAGCUAGCGUUGUUCGGAAUUACUGGGCGUAAAGCGUGCGCAGGCGGUUGUGUAAGACAGGUGUGAAAUCCCCGGGCUUAACCUGGGAACUGCGCUUGUGACUGCACAGCUAGAGUAUGGCAGAGGGGAGUGGGAUUCCACGUGUAGCAGUGAAAUGCGUAGAGAUGUGGAGGAACACCGAUGGCGAAGGCAGCCCCCUGGGCCAAUACUGACGCUCAUGCACGAAAGCGUGGGGAGCAAACAGGAUUAGAUACCCCCGUAGUCCCUGUCUCUUAUAC